UCACUUUCAACAACGGAUCUCUUGGCUCUCGCAUCGAUGAAGAACGUAGCGAAGUGCGAUAAGUAGUGUGAAUUGCAGAAUCUUGACAAUCAUCGAAUCUUUGAACGCAAAUUGCACUCUCUGGCAACCCGGGGAGUAUGCCUGUUUGAGG
rnacentral:rRNA from 1 species